rnacentral:rRNA from 1 species
GAUGAACGCUGGCGGCAGGCCUAAUACAUGCAAGUCGAGCGAAAAGACGAGGAGCGUGCGCCUCUGACGUUAGCGGCGGGCGGGUGAGUAACACGUGGAUAACCUACCUAUAUUACUGGGAUGACUUCGGGGAACAGGAGCUGCUACCAGAGAAUAUAUUGUACGGCAGGGUUCAAUAGUUCAUGACGCCUUUGGCGUCACUUAUAGAUGGAUCCGUGGCGCCUUGGCUAGUUGGUAAGGUAACGGCUUACCAAGGCAACGUUGCGUAGCCGACCUGAGAGGGUGAUCAGCCACACUGGAACUGAGACACGGUCCAGACUCCUACGGGAGGCAGCAGUAGGGAAUCUUGCGCAAUGGGCGAAAGCCUGACCGAGCCACGCCGCGUGAGUGAAGAAGGCCUUCGGAUCGUAAAACUCUGUUAUUGGGAAAGAACAGAUGUGUAAGUAACUACGGACGUCUUGACGGUACCCAAUCAGAAAGCAACGGCUAACUACGUG